rnacentral:rRNA from 1 species
UACGUAGGGUGCAAGCGUUGUCCGGAAUUAUUGGGCGUAAAGAGCUUGUAGGCGGUCUGUCGCGUCUGCUGUGAAAAUCCGGGGCUCAACCCCGGACUUGCAGUGGGUACGGGCAGACUAGAGUGUGGUAGGGGAGACUGGAAUUCCUGGUGUAGCGGUGAAAUGCGCAGAUAUCAGGAGGAACACCGAUGGCGAAGGCAGCUCGCUGGGACGGUACUGACGCUGAGGCGCGAAAGCGUGGGGAGCAAACAGG